UACUUUUAGGUGUGUUGCACGUAAAAUUUUGAUUUUUAAGGUACUUAUUAGUUUGGUAAAAGUAA
rnacentral:tRNA from 1 species